AUGCUUCCUCUGCAGUGGAACAGGCUGGCAGGCAGCCUGCGAUGGUACCCUGCUCAGAAGAACCGCCCCCCCUGCUGGACCUCCUGGCUCCUGGGCUUCAGCAGCCUCCUCCUCAGUGUCUGCAGCACUGGGGUCAAGAGUUCUGGAGCACAUGGUUCUGGAGUUCAGGAUUCUGGAUCCUACAUUUCUCUGAUGGAGAUCCAAGGAGGUUCUGUGUGGUUUCAUGUGAUCAAGGAGCCAGGAACUGAGCUGGAGGAGAUCGUUUGGGCCUUUGGCCCCGCCAUUAAACACACAGUCAUGCUGCGAGUCCAGAAAGGGUCAGAAGGGACUCCAACCUGGGUCAGCCUCCAGGACAAGUACAUGCAGAGGGUACAUGUGCCCAACAUGACAUCCCUGAGGAUUGAGAACUUGACCCGUGAGGACAGCGGGCAGUACCGGGCUUGGGCCAGCUUAACUGGGGGAAUGGAAUCUAACCAGAUUUUCGACCUCACCGUCUAUGGUAUGUGACACCCCUCACCUCAAUCCCAUGGCUACAGCCUUCUUUUGUGCCUAGGAGUGUCGCAUGGGCACCAUUUUGCAGGCCUCCUUCUUGACGGCAGGCUUCAGGCUCUAUUUUAUCCGCUGAUAUUAGGGUAAGUAGGUUCAGCACAAAUGGAGAGCAGAGCUGAGAUUCACGCCAGGGAAAGAAUCACUUCAGUGUUUUGGGAGACGAAAAUAGAAUUAUGGGGUAAAUGGAAUUUUUGCCAUAACACUGAUUGUUCUUUAGAGGAUUCAGUUGACUUAAUUUAUGUGUUAAUUUUCUAUUCCUGCUAUAACAAAUUAUAGUGGCCUCCCUUAUCUGUGGAGGAUACAUUCCAAGACCUCCAGUGGAUGCUUGAAACCAUGGAUAGUACCGAACCAUAUAUAUAGUAUGCUUUUCCUAUACGUACAUACCUAUGAUAAAGCUGCAUUUAUAAAUUAGGCACAGUAAGAGAUGAACAGUAACUAAUAAUAAAAUAGAACGAUGAUAACA
rnacentral:lncRNA from 1 species